rnacentral:rRNA from 1 species
UACGGGGGGAGCAAGCGUUGUUCGGAUUUACUGGGCGUAAAGGGCGCGUAGGCGGCCUCUGCAAGUCGACUGUGAAAUCUCCGGGCUUAACCCGGAACGGUCAGCCGAUACUGCAGGGCUAGAGUGCAGAAGGGGCAACUGGAAUUCUCGGUGUAGCGGUGAAAUGCGUAGAUAUCGGGAGGAAUACCGAUGGCGAAGGCAGGUCUCUGGGCUGACACUGACGCUCAUGCACGAAAGCGUGGGGAGCAAACAGG